rnacentral:rRNA from 1 species
UGGGGAAUUUUGCACAAUGGGGGGAACCUUGAUGCAGCGACGCCGCGUGAGGGAUGGAGGCCUUCGGGUUGUGAACCUCUUUCGCUCGUGUGCAAGCCGCUAUUUGGGUAGUGGUGAGUGUAGCGGGUAAAGAAGCGCCGGCUAACUACGUGCCAGCAGCCGCGGUAAUACGUAGGGCGCGAGCGUUGUCCGGAAUUAUUGGGCGUAAAGGGCUUGUAGGCGGUUGGCCGCGUCUGCCGUGAAAUCCUCUGGCUUAACUGGGGGCGUGCGGUGGGUACGGGUUGACUUGAGUGCGGUAGGGGAGACUGGAAUUCCUGGUGUAGCGGUGGAAUGCGCAGAUAUCAGGAGGAACACCGGUGGCGAAGGCGGGUCUCUGGGCCGUUACUGACGCUGAGGAGCGAAAGCGUGGGGAGCGAACAGG